rnacentral:lncRNA from 10 species
UAUGUUGCCCAGGCUGGUCUCCAACUCCUGGGCUCAAGCAAUGCUCCAGCCUUGGCCGCCAGAAGUGCUGGGAUUAUAGGAAUGAGCCACAUGCCCGGCCCAUGUUAUUAUUUUAAACUCAAACAGAAAAAAAGAAUUCAAGCAUGAGAUCCCAGAACAAGAGCAUUAAAGGAGAGAAAUGAAGUCAUGAAGACAACAAAAUAUCCGGAUAAAGGCAACUGACCAGACUUGAAUACUUAUCCCAAGAAACCAGGAACUGUUUACAUGUUGGUAUUUCCCAUUGCUUCCAAAAUCCAAGAAUCAUAGACCAUCGAGAACUGCUCUGUGCCAGGCUCAGUGUAAGGCUCAGUAGUCACAGACCUCUUCCUCAAUAAAGGUAGAUGUAAACACACUCCUCUGAGUCUCCUCUAUCAUACCGCUUAUUAGGUGAUAUUGUCAGGUACAUGCUGGGAACAUUAAGGAGGUAGGAGAUGGCAUCUUGGAAAGCUUCAGGAAUGAAGUGUGAAUUAAAUCUCAGAUAAUGAGUCACAGCUGGCCAGAUAAUUAGGAAAAGCAUAUGGACAGGCACAGAGGUACGAAGAGGGUCCCUCUUGGCAGAAUGAAGCAACAGGCUGCCUUUUGACUGAGGCUCCACAUUGGCGAAGGAACUUCGAUGUGUACACAGUCGCUGGGAUCAACUCACAGGACUAUUAAUAAAAAGGAAGAUAUUCAUCAUACAAAUCUAAACUCAUUUCAUCAACUGCUUGUGUUCAUCCAGCUCUUUCGACUCCGUCCAUGAACACUCUAUCUCCUCUCAACAAUGAUUUGGGCUGUGUUUUGGAUCCAGCUGCUUAAGAAGGAAUGACUGAGGAGAAGUCAAUUGGGCCAAAAUUAUUCUAGGAGGUAACCAGAGAUGACCUUGUACUGUGAGAGGAUUUGACCCUGGCAUGUGAAAUGGCAGAUGAGAGCUAGAAAGAGUCAAGGAAACAUUUCUUUUGAGCUAUUGUCAACUUUUAACAAGGAAGUAUACUCCUAUGAACAAAAUUUGGAGCAUAUUUGUUUCUUUCUACCUGAUUUCUCCAGAAUUUGGGAACUAUUUGGAUGCAUUCUCACCAUGCUGCAAGGCUGCUCUCGGACUCCUGGCCUCAAGCAAUCUGCCCACCGCGUCCUCCCAAAGUGCUGGAUGGAAUUACAGGUAUGAGCCACAGUGCCUGGCCUCCCUUUCUUUUUUUUUUUUUUUUUUUUUUUUAAAUAAAAUCCACUAUAAUAUGCUACAAAGUAUCUUAUAAAAGUCCCUUAUAAAGUUCCAGUGCUACAUCAAUCUUAAGAUUCCUCCACUUCAAAUUCAGUUUCUUAACAUUUCCUCUUCUGCCACUAUGCUCUACCCUUAGGGCUGAAGAACAAGACUACUGUUAUUUGGCUUUGUCACUCCUGAAAUAGAAAUUAAUCUUAAAUCUAAAAAUAAAAAAAUUGUAGUCUAAUACUUCCUAUUGGAGCCAACAAAAUCACACAGAAAAUUUUCUAAAGGCCUAGCCAUUGUCCUAUUACAUACAUCUUUCUGC